rnacentral:pre_miRNA from 1 species
GGUCUCUGUGUUGGGCGUCUGUCUGCCCGAGUGCCUGCCUCUCUGCUGCUCUGAAGGAGGCAGGGGCUGGGCCUGCAGCUGCCUGGGCAGAGCUG